rnacentral:tRNA from 1 species
GGAGUUGUGGCUCAGUGGUAGAGCACUUGCUUAGCAUGCAUGAGGCCCUAGGUUCGAUCCUUAGCACCA